rnacentral:rRNA from 1 species
UACGUAGGGGGCGAGCGUUGUCCGGAUUCAUUGGGCGUAAAGCGCACGCAGGCGGUCUGCUAAGUUUGGAGUGACAGUUGGUGGCUUAACUGCCAAAGUGCUUCGAAAACUGACAGACUUGAGGGCUUCAGAGGGACACGGAAUUCCGGGUGGAGUGGUGAAAUGCGUAGAGAUCCGGAGGAACACCAAAGGCGAAGGCAGUGUCCUGGGGAGUACCUGACGCUCAGGUGCGAAAGCCAGGGGAGCGAACGGG